UACGGAGGGAGCUAGCGUUGUUCGGAAUUACUGGGCGUAAAGCGCACGUAGGCGGCGAAGCAAGUCAGGGGUGAAAUCCCGGGGCUCAACCCCGGAACUGCCCUUGAAACUGCUUUGCUAGAAUCUUGGAGAGGCGAGUGGAAUUCCGAGUGUAGAGGUGAAAUUCGUAGAUAUUCGGAAGAACACCAGUGGCGAAGGCGACUCGCUGGACAAGUAUUGACGCUGAGGUGCGAAAGCGCGGGGAGCAAACAGGAUUAGAUACCCCCGUAGUCCCUGAG
rnacentral:rRNA from 1 species